AUUGAACGCUGGCGGCAGGCCUAACACAUGCAAGUCGAGCGGAUGAAGGGAGCUUGCUCCUGGAUUCAGCGGCGGACGGGUGAGUAAUGCCUAGGAAUCUGCCUGGUAGUGGGGGAUAACGUCCGGAAACGGGCGCUAAUACCGCAUACGUCCUGAGGGAGAAAGUGGGGGAUCUUCGGACCUCACGCUAUCAGAUGAGCCUAGGUCGGAUUAGCUAGUUGGUGGGGUAAAGGCCUACCAAGGCGACGAUCCGUAACUGGUCUGAGAGGAUGAUCAGUCACACUGGAACUGAGACACGGUCCAGACUCCUACGGGAGGCAGCAGUGGGGAAUUUUGGACAAUGGGCGAAAGCCUGAUCCAGCAAUGCCGCGUGUGUGAAGAAGGUCUUCGGAUUGUAAAGCACUUUUAGUUGGGAAGAAGGGCAGUAAGUUAAUACCUGGCUGUUUUGACGGUACCAAAAGAAUAAGCACCGGCUAACUACGUG
rnacentral:rRNA from 1 species